GGCUCCCACGGGCCGGCAGCUGGGAUCCGGCUGUGGGCUCUGGAAUCCGGGAUGGGAUCUGCCGGGGGAUGGAGCCGCUGUGGGAUCGGCUCCCUGCGGCGCCGGGCGGGCACGGGAUCGGGCCCUGGGAUCCGGGUUUGGGAUUUGGGAUGGCAUCCAGACCCUGGAGCACAGCACGGGCUCCCUGCGGUGCCAGCCGGGGCCAGCCGGGCACGGGAUCGGGCCCUGAGAUCCGGGUUUGGGAUCUGGGAUGGCAUCCAGACCCUGGAGCACAGCAAGGGCUCCCUGUGGCACCAAGGUGGGGCCAGCCGGGCACAGCCGUGCUGGGAUCAGGCCCUGGGAUCCCCUCUGGGAUCCGGGUCUGGGAUCUGGGAUGGCAUCCAGACCCUGGAGCACAGCAAAGGCUCCCUGUGGCACCAAGGUGGGGCCAGCCGGGCAUGGCCGUGCUGGGAUCGGGCUCUGGGAUCCGGGUUUGGGAUCUGGGAUGGCAUCCAGACCCUGGAGCACAGCAAAGGCUCCCUGUGGCACCAAGGCGGGGCCAGCCGGGCACGGCCGCGCUGGGAUCGGGCUCUGGGAUCCCCUCUGGGAUCCGGGUUUGGGUUCUGCCACCCCGGCUCGGGAUCCGGGAUCUGCUCUCCAGCCGCCCCACUUGGUGCUUGGGGUCAGGGUUUGGGAUCUGGGACGGGAUCGAGCCCCAGAACCACCUCGGGCACACCUGGACGAGGCCAGGCCAGCACGGCCACGGGCUGGGGUGGGAUCUGGGAUCCAGGAUGGGAUCCAGGAUGGGAUCUGGGUCUGGGACCCAGGACUGAGAUCUGGGUCUGGGAUCCAGGAUCCAGGACUGAGACCUGGUCUGAGAUCCAGGUCUGGGAUCCAGGAUCUGGGAUGGGGUCUGAGAUCUGCCCUCCUGCCACCCCACGCUGUGCUUGGGAUCUCAGUUUGGGAUCCGGGACCCAGCUUUGGGAUCUGGUCUGGGUCUGGGAUCUGAUCUGGGAUCCAGCUUUGGGAUCUGGUCUGGGUCUGGGAUCUGAUCCAGAAUUCAGCUCUGGGAUUUGGAAUUCAGCUCUGGGAUCUGAUCCAGAAUUCAGCUCUGGGAUCCAGCUCUGGGAUCCAGAAUUCAGCUCUGGGAUCUGGAAUUCAGCUCUGGGAUCCGGAAUUCAGCUCUGGGAUCCAGCUCUGGGACCCAGGAUCUGGUCCAGAAUUCCAGCUCUGGGAUCCGGAACUCAGAUCUGGGAUCUGGGAUCUGAGAUCCAGCUCUGGGAUCCGACCUGGGUCUGGGAUCCGGGAUCCAGCUCUGGGAUCCGGGAUCCAGCUCUGGGAUCCAGCUCUGGGAUCCAGAAUUCAGCUCUGGGAUCCAGCUCUGGGACCCAGGAUCUGGUCCAGAAUUCCAGCUCUGGGAUCCGGAACUCAGAUCUGGGAUCUGGGAUCCGAUCCGGGUCUGGGAUCUGGGAUCCAGCUCUGGGAUCCAGCUCUGGGAUCCAGAAUUCAGCUCUGGGAUCCGGGAUCCAGCUCUGGGAUCCAGAAUUCAGCUCUGGGAUCCGAUCUGGGUCUGGGAUCCGGGAUCCAGCUCUGGGAUCCAGAAUUCAGCUCUGGGAUCUGGAACUCAGCUCUGGGAUCCGGGAUCCUGCUCUGGGAUCCUGCUCUGGGAUCCAGCUCUGGGAUCCGGGAUCCGACCCGGGUCCCUCCCGCCCCGCUCCCCCCGGCACCGGAACGCCCAAAUCGGAGUUUCCCG
ensembl:lncRNA